GACGAACGCUGGCGGCGUGCUUAACACAUGCAAGUCGAACGGAAAGGCCCUGCUUUUGUGGGGUGCUCGAGUGGCGAACGGGUGAGUAACACGUGAGUAACCUGCCCUUGACUUUGGGAUAACUUCAGGAAACUGGGGCUAAUACCGGAUAGGAGCUCCUGCUGCAUGGUGGGGGUUGGAAGGUUUCGGCGGUUGGGGAUGGACUCGCGGCUUAUCAGCUUGUUGGUGGGGUAGUGGCUUACCAAGGCUUUGACGGGUAGCCGGCCUGAGAGGGUGACCGGCCACAUUGGGACUGAGAUACGGCCCAGUCUCCUACGGGAGGCAGCAGUGGGGAAUAUUGCACAAUGGGCGGAAGCCUGUUGCAGCAGCGCCGCGUGCGGGAUGACGGCCUUCGGGUUGUGAACCGCUUUCGCCUGUGACGAAGCGUGAGUGACGGUAAUGGGUAAAGAAGCACCGGCUAACUACGUG
rnacentral:rRNA from 1 species